rnacentral:rRNA from 1 species
UACAGAGGGUGCGAGCGUUGUCCGGAAUCAUUGGGCGUAAAGGGCGCGUAGGUGGCGGGACAAGCGUGCGGUGAAAGCUCGGGGCUCAACCCCGCGUCGGCCGUGCGAACUGUUUUGCUUGAGCACUGUAGAGGCAGGCGGAAUUCCGGGUGUAGCGGUGGAAUGCGUAGAGAUCCGGAAGAACACCGGUGGCGAAGGCGGCCUGCUGGGCAGUAGCUGACACUGAGGCGCGACAGCGUGGGGAGCAAACAGG